rnacentral:lncRNA from 1 species
UGUGUCCAGGAGACCUAGGGGCACACGCCCGCCUGGGGGUCUGAGGAAGCCAUGGGGGGUGAAAACCUGUUUUUGUAUUGAAUUGCUUCUUCUUAAAGACCAGCAUCAACCUGAUCAUGCUCCCCACCAUGUGAAACGGAAUGGGCACGCCACGAUAAGUAGUAAUGAGCCUUUUCGGCAGCCUUCUGUUUUAACAAAAAAACGCUGCUGUUUGGCAUUGAAGUUUGCUUGUGUUUAAGCUCGCGGUGGAACAGCCUAGGACCCCUCUCUGUUUGUAACCUGGCUUUAUAAUUUUGUUAUUAUUUAAAGCCUCCCUUUCAGCGAUUUUUUAAAACCAAAAUAUAUGCUGGCUAAUGUCAUCUGGAAACUGAAAGUCGAUGUUCAGCAACUCUCACUCGCCAAUCCUACAACUUGGUGCUGUUUGUUUAAUUUGAGUCCAGUCUCUAAGAAUAAGUAAUGAACUCAUCUUGGGCACCAGCCAGAGCCUACAACUCUGAGACGACCCGUAAACCCCUUUCCCUUUCCUUCUGGUUCUGGAAGGGAUUCUGUAGUUCAAAGAACCCAUCACCGUACCCAAAGCAACGAAGACAAGCGCGGAUGGCCCGAGGUGGGUCCAGUCUGCUCAAACCCAGAUCUGAGAGUAGUGAACAAUGAUCGCCCAGAGCAAAAUCAGGUUUGGCCGCCAGAAGCAAAGGUGACUUCAGCAGCCACCCACUCUCCUCAGCCUCGUGUCCCACGGUGAACACUGAUGAACUGGCUUCUGUCAUCCCAGGGAAGAGACGGGCUUCAAGCAGGCUGCAAAACCAGGCCGGCGGGCUCCGACAACAACUCUCAUCCAAAGUUCCCUCGUUGCCAUCUGCUGACCAGCUGGACCCACUGACCUCAGACCAGAACCUUCCCCAAGCUUGAUCUGCAGCCUGCCACCUGGGGAACCCACUUCGCUGAAUAGGAGCUGGAAAUCUGGGCUCUUUUUCAGGCCUCUGCCAUGAGGCACUGUAUCCUUGUUCCAACUCAAUUAUUACUGAUUCAUUAUUUGUCUUUCCUCUAAAAAGAACCAGCCAUAACAAAAAGCCCCU